rnacentral:rRNA from 1 species
UACAGAGGUCUCAAGCGUUGUUCGGAUUCAUUGGGCGUAAAGGGUGCGUAGGCGGCGCGGUAAGUCGGGUGUGAAAUCUCGGGGCUUAACUCCGAAACUGCAUUCGAUACUGCCGUGCUUGAGGACUGGAGAGGAGACUGGAAUUUUUACGGUGUAGCGGUGAAAUGCGUAGAUAUCGUAAGGAAGACCAGUGGCGAAGGCGGGUCUC